AGUUCUCACCCAUGAGAUAAGGCUGUUUACAUGAGGUAGAUAUGUACCAGAUAAUGGGAAGCCAUGCUUAUCCAUCUCAACCUUUCUCAUAACUUGGAAUCCGAAGUCAUAAGCAUAAAAUGAACCAUCUUCAUCCCUCUUGAAUAUCAAAUCUCCACUGAUUCUCAAACUGAAAAUGGGAACCAUGUCAAUGACGCUACCUGUAGAGAUGCUAUACCGCUUCAUCCAAACUCCACCAUUUAAACUCUUCAAAUUCCAAAUAUCUAUGUCUAGUUCGUGAUGGGUGACAAAACAUAGGAAACCAGCCAUCUCAAUAAUCCUGUCAUAAGUUCUGCCACUCUUGGGGAGUGGUACGGUAUGAAACUUCUCAGUGCCAACUUCCAUGGAUACUAUGUAAUCGUUAUGAUCAAUUUGAGGAAGCCAAUGCAGAGCUCCAAUUGCGGAAACUGGCAUGUACCCAAACCAACCAAAAAGUCCAAAAGAAGGUCCAUUCACUUCCCUCCACAUUCUUGUCCCAAGGUUUAAUAUCUCACAACUGACAUAUCCCAACUCAUCCCGAAACAAGUGUACCACUUUAUAUUCUCCAGUAGCAUCAUUUAGUGCAAAGCCAUACGAUUCAUCCUGAGGAGGAUAUAUAGUACCUAGAGGAAGUGCAAUAAGCUUCCUUGUUACAGGAUUCAUCACUAUCAGUCCCCCUUUCCUCAGUUUGUUAUCAAGCAAAAUUAGACCAUUGCAUGUUGUAGCUCUAAUAUGGCCCAGGCAGCUCAGAUUAUACUCUCGUAUCUUGCUUUUUCCCUCUUUAAAUUCCAUAAACUGGAUGGAAAAUUUUGGUGCCCCACUGAAGUUUGGUUGCCCAAAAAUGGGGACAGGUUCCGAUUGAAGAAAACUUGUUUCAACACAGAAGUUAUUUGGUUGCUCUGGUGGCAUUGAUGUGACAGAAUAAGGGUAUAAUCUUUCUCUUGGAACUGAUUUUUGAAAUAUCAACACAGAUUCAGAGCGACAAAGAUGGGCAUCAAUAAAUGUGGGGCUGUUAAUUAUACUGUACCAAGGCUUGCAAACAAACCUUGAACUUUGAAGUGACUCUAGAGGAAGCUGGAUAAGGAUAUUUGAGAUGCAAUCUUUAUGAAGAUAAGGUACAUGCUGCUUCUUUUGCUCAUCUUCCACCUUCUUGAACAGGGCUCUCUCUUCUACAGAUUUCAACAACCCUACAUUCUUGUUUCCCACGGAUUUGGCCAUUAUAACUUAUUAAUCCUCACUGAUCACUGUUGAUAAAGCUAUUGAUGAGAGCUCCAAUGAGAGAAGAGUUAGCAACCCUUUCGUGAAGGGAAAGAAAAAAAUAGAAGGG
rnacentral:misc_RNA from 1 species